rnacentral:rRNA from 1 species
UACGGAGGGUGCGAGCGUUGUCCGGAAUCACUGGGCGUAAAGGGCGCGUAGACGGCUUCUCAAGCGUGUGGUGAAAGUCCGGGGCUCAACCCCGGAUCGGCCGUGCGGACUGGGGAGCUCGAGUUCUGUAGAGGCGGGUGGAAUUCCGGGUGUAGCGGUGGAAUGCGUAGAGAUCCGGAAGAACACCGGUGGCGAAGGCGGGUCUCUGGACAGUUCCUGACGCUCAGGCACGAAAGCCAGGGGAGCAAACGGG